UUUUUUACAAGGUGUGGGGUAUUAAUCAUAUUUUAUGAUUUAAAAAAAAAAAAGACAUCCAAAUAUGUUGCAAAAAUUAUAACCAAAGGCUAACUUCAUCUUCAUUUUAGUGAAAUUUCAAGUUUGAAAAAAAAUUGAAAUUAUGUCCAAACGCCUGCUCUCUUCUCCUCCAUCAUCUUCCUUAUUUUUUGUACUAUCAGUGAAGAUGUUAUUUCUAACAAUACACCCCCCCCCCCCCNN
rnacentral:lncRNA from 1 species